rnacentral:tRNA from 1 species
AUUUAAGUAGUUUAUUUAAAAUUACAGGUUGUGGUGCUGUGGAAGGGUUAACCCCUUAAAUA